AAUAAUACAAUUUAAUUUUUUUAAGAAAUUAGUUAAUAUAAAAUAGUUAUAAUUUAUGUUAGGAUUUAUUAGGUGAAAUUUUAAAUUUUAUCUAAAUUAUUAUUUUGUUUAUGGUUUAAGAAAUUUUUUUAUUAGACUAGGAUUAGAUACCCUAUUAUUAAAAAUGUAAAUAUUGUUCUUGAUUAUUAAUAGUUAUGAUCUUGAAAAUUAAAGAUUUUGGCGGUAUUUUAGUCUAUUCAGAGGAACCUGUCCUGUAAUCGAUAAACCACGAGUUAAUUUACUUUUUUUAUAGUUUAUAUAUCAUCAUAGUUGGAAUAUUUUAUAAGAAUUAUAAUAUUCAGAAAUUAUUUUAUAAUGGAAUUUAGAUCAAGGUAUAGCUUAUAUAAAAGUAGAGAUGGGUUACAUUUAUUUUAAUAAAGAAUUUAAAAUUGAAAAUUUUACUGAAUUUGGAUUUGAUAGUAAUUUAAUUUAAAUAAAUUGGAUGAUUUUAGCUCUAAAAUAUGUACAUAUCGCCCGUCGCUUUCUCUUGAAGGAGAAAUAAGUCGUAACAAAGUAGUUUUACUGGAAAGUGAAUCUAGAAAGUCAAAUUAGAGCUUGAGAUAAAGCAUUUUAUUUACAUUAAAAAGUUAAUUGUGUAAUUCAAUUUAAUUUGAAGUUAAUAAAUUAUUAAUAUAAAAAAUUAAUUUUAAUGUUAAGAAAAGAAAUUUUUUUUUAGUAAAUUUUUGAAAAAAAAAUAUUUAUAAUAGAUAAUUAGUAUUGUGAAAGAAUUUUUUUAAUUUUUUAAUAGAAGAAUUAAUUUUU
rnacentral:rRNA from 1 species